rnacentral:rRNA from 1 species
CUACGGAAGGUCCGGGCGUUAUCCGGAUUUAUUGGGUUUAAAGGGAGCGCAGGCGGAGAUGCAAGCGUGACGUCAAAUUUCGGGGCUCAACCCCGUCUCGCGUCGCGAACUGCGUCCCUUGGUUGCGGGAAGGGGAGGCGGAACUCGUGGUGUAGCGGUGGAAUGCAUAGAUAUCACGAAGAACUCCGAUCGCGAAGGCAGCCUUCCGGCCCGUCAACGACGCUCAUGCUCGAAGGUGCGGGUAUCAAACAGGUUUAGAUACCCUGGUAGUCCGCACAGUAAACGAUGGACACCCGCGGUUUGGCCUGUAUGGCUGAGCCGCCAAGCGAAAGCGUUAAGUGUCCCACCUGGGGAGUACGCCGGCAACGGUGAAACUCAAAGGAAUUGACGGG